rnacentral:rRNA from 1 species
UACGGAGGGAGCUAGCGUUGUUCGGAAUACUGGGCGUAAAGCGUGCGCAGGCGGUUUUUGUAAGACAGGCGUGAAAUCCCCCGAGCUCAACUUGGGAAUUGCGCUUGUGACUGCAAGGCUAGAGUGUGUCAGAGGGGGGGUAGAAUUCCACGUGUAGCAGUGAAAAUGCGUAGAGAUGUGGAGGAAUACCGAUGGCGAAGGCAGCCCCCCUGGGACAUGACUGACGCUCAUGCACGAAAGCGUGGGGAGCAAACAGG